rnacentral:rRNA from 1 species
GACGAACGCUGGCGGCGUGCUUAACACAUGCAAGUCGAACGGGAUCUAGUAAACGGAUGCCUCGUUGGAAGAUUACUAAUGAGAGUGGCGAACGGGUGAUUAACGCGUGAGCAACCUGCCUAUGACAGGGGGAUAGCCUCGCGAAAACGGGAUUAAUACCGCAUAAAAUCGUAGAAACAAAUGUUUCAACGGUCAAAGAUUUAUCGGUCAUAGAUGGGCUCGCGACUGAUUAGCUAGUUGGUGAGAUAACAGCCCACCAAGGCGACGAUCAGUAGCCGGUCUGAGAGACAGAACGGACACAUUGGAGCUAGGACACAGUCCAAAAUCCUACGCGAGGCAGCAGUGGGGAAUACAGCACAAUGGGGGAAACCCUGAUGCAGCGACGCCGCGUAAACGAAUAAGGUAUUCAUAUCGUAAAGUUCUGUCAUAUGGGAAGAUAAUGACAGUACCAAAGAAGAAAGCUCCGGCUAAAUACGUG